rnacentral:misc_RNA from 1 species
AAGUCGUAACAAGGUCUCCGUUGGUGAACCAGCGGAGGGAUCAUUACUGAGUUAUUCAACUCCAAACCCAUGUGAACAUACCAAUGUUGCCUCGGCGGGACAGACCUACCCGGGACUUACCCGGUAGCUACCCUGUAGCUGCAGGUCUACCUGCCGGUGGAUUACAAACUCUUGUUUUUACGUAACACUUCUGAGUACACUAUAAAAUAAGUUAAAACUUUCAACAACGGAUCUCUUGGUUCUG